rnacentral:lncRNA from 1 species
GGAAAAAUAGUACAGGUCAAUAACUGGCUCAGAAAAUGGUGUCAAGAGGAGCAUUUUGGCUUCCCUGACCAUGGUCUACUCUUCCAAGAGGAUGGACUACUGGCAAGUGAUGGGGUGCAUCUCACACAAGUAGGAAAACAUCUUUUUGCACACAGACUCACAAACCUCAUCAGGCGCACUUUAAACUAGAUCCACUGGGGGAGGGGAACAACAGCCUGGCGAACACUAUAUUACCCACGACUACAGGGAACCGCCAAAAGGCUAAACGGAGGGCUGCACAAACACAGCAAGGACCAAGUACAGAGAGCACAAUAAUCCCAAAUAAACAGCUCAAGGGGAGGUCACAGGGGCUUACAUAUCUUUACACUAAUGCUCAGAGCAUGGGAAAUAAGCAAGACGAACAACUCUUAGCACAGCACCACACAUACGAUGUCAUAGGCAUCACUGAAAUCUGGUGGGAUGACUCCCAUCACUGGAAUUUAACCAUUGAGGGCUAUAACCUCUUUUACAGAAAUAGAACAAAGGGGAGAGGAGGGGAAGUAGCUUUAUAUGUCAAAAACAGUUACGUUGCAGAAGAAAUGCAAGACUGUAAUCCGGGAAACCAACUUGAAAGCAUCUGGAUAAAAAUCAAGGGAACCAGGACUCAAAAAGACCUUGUCGUGGGUGUCUACUACAGACCUCCGAGUCAGGAUGAAGGACUUGAUGAAGCUUUCUGUCAACAGCUGACCAAACAGGCACAAAGAAGAGAUAUAGUAGUCAUGGGCGAUUUCAAUUAUCCCGAUAUCUGCUGGAAAACAAGCUCGGCCAAGAGUACAAAGUCCAACAAAUUCCUCACUUGCCUUGCAGACAAUUUUAUGGUCCAGAAGGUAGAAGAGGCAACAAGGGGAUCAGCAACUCUUGAUCUAAUCUUAACAAAUGUGGAAGACCUGAUCAAUACAGUUGAAGUGAUUAGAUCAAGAGUUGCUGAUCCCCUUGUUGCCUCUUCUACCUUCUGGACCAUAAAAUUAUCUGCAAGGCAAGUGAGGAGUUUGUUGGACUUUGUACUCUUGGCUGAGUUUGUUUUCCAGCAGAUAUCGGGAUAAUUGAAAUCGCCCAUGACUACUAUAUCUCUUCUUUGUGCCUGUUUGGUCAGCUGUUGACAGAAGGCUUCAUCAAGUCUUUCAUCCUGACUCGGAGGUCUGUAGUAGACACCCACGACAAGAUCUUUUUGAGUCCCAGUUCCCUUGAUUCUUAUCCAGAUGCUUUCAAGCUGGUUCUUGUUUGGGCGCUGCGUUUGGUGGUCCCUAUGUAUACUUGUCCACAGCUGCAUGGUAUCCCGUAGACUCCUGCAGUGGAGAGAGGAUCCCUCUUGUCCUUCGCUGACCGUAGCAAAACAAGAAUCAAAGAACAUGAAAGGCACUGCAGACUAAUUCAACCAGAGAAAUCAGCCAUAGCAGAGCAUUUGAUGAACCAGCCUGGACACAGGAUAUUAUUUGAGAACACAAAAAUGCUGGACCAUUCCAACAACUAUCAUGUCAGACUACACAGAGAAGCCAUUGAAAUCCACAAGCAUGUGGACAAUUUCAACAGAAAGGAAGAAACCAUGAAAAUGAACAAAAUCUGGCUACCAGUAUUACAAAACUCCAAAAUCAAAACAGUAGAUGGGAACCAAAACUCUGAGGGCUUGACUGACAAAGGAUGCCCCCAGGCAAGAGACAAAAACAUCUCCAAUGCUGAUUAGGGUGAUUAACUGAAACAUUAAUGCUGGCUCCCAGUGACAAAGGACCCUUGCCACACCCCAGACACUACACAGAUAUAUAUAUUCUUUCCUUUCCUUACUUAGUUUAUCCAUACCUCACAACCUCUGAGGAUGCCUGCCAUAGAUGUGGGCGAAACGUCAGGAGAGAAUGCUUCUGGAACAUGGCCACACAGCCCGAAAGACAUACAACAACCCUGUGAUCCCGGCCAUGAAAGCCUUCGACAACACAUCUUUCAAGAGUGUUUGUGUUGUGUAUCUUUCUUUGGUAGGGAUUGGAGUAGAUGGCUCUUGCCUUUCCAUUCAUCAACCACCUAUUAGGCUUGUGCGCUGAAUGCAUUUCCUCUGUUUACUGUUUCCUUCAGUACCUUCAGUUUUUCAGGAGCUCGUAACGAUAAGGGUAUGAAAACCCACCUGCUUUUUGGCAUCACAGUUUAAUCUUUUUUAUUAAAUCCCCAGCAAACAAAACAAACACUCUAAUUCCCUGAAAACUACAACC